AAGGUGCCGCGCACAUCAGGUGAACCCGGAAUGGCAUUGUUCCGGGUGAACGGGAAGCCGGUGCGGAAUGAUCCAUUCCCAGGCCGGCGCUGCCCCCGCAACGGUGAUCGAGUUAACCCGCAGCCCCCGUCAUUUUUGACGGAGCCACUGUGAAACAGCGCUACUGGCGUUCGUUUCGCGGGAAGGCGCUGCGGACUGGCAUUAGCCGCUCGUAAGCCCGGAGACCGGCCCGGUGUACACGCGAACG
rnacentral:ncRNA from 1 species